GGACCCGCACAAGCAGUGGAGCAUGUGGUUUAAUUCGAAGAUACGCGCAGAACCUUACCAACGCUUGACAUGUUCGUCGCGAAACUAAGAGAUUAGUUUCUUCAGUUCGGCUGGACGAAACACAGGUGCUGCAUGGCUGUCGUCAGCUCGUGUCGUGAGAUGUUGGGUUAAGUCCCGCAACGAGCGCAACCCCCUACUUUUAGUUGCCACCAUUUAGUUGGGCACUUUAAAAGAACUGCCAGUGAUAAGCUGGAGGAAGGUGGGGAUGACGUCAAGUCCUCAUGGCCCUUAUGUGUUGGGCUACACACGUGCUACAAUGGCACUUACAAUGGGAUGCGAAGAGGCGACUCUAAGCUAAUCCCAAAAAUGUGUCUCAGUUCGGAUUGUACUCUGUAACUCGAGUGCAUGAAGCUGGAAUUACUAGUAAUCG
rnacentral:rRNA from 1 species